CAAGAAAUAGUUUAUUAAAAUACUAACUUUGGAAGUUAGAGAUACCGUCAAGGUUUUCUUGA
rnacentral:tRNA from 1 species